GUAAGGAAUAUUGGACAAUGGCCGAAAGGCUGAUCCAGCCAUCCAGCGUGCAGGAAGAAGGCCCUAUGGGUUGUAAACUGCUUUUAUCAGGGAAUAAACCUCUGGAUUUACUCCGGAGCUGAAGGUACCUGAAGAAUAAGCACCGGCUAACUCCGUGCCAGCAGCCGCGGUAAUACGGAGGGUGCGAGCGUUAUCCGGAAUUACUGGGUUUAAAGGGUGCGUAGGCGGCUUUGUAAGUCAGGAGUGAAAGUUUGCAGCUCAACUGUAAAAUUGCUUUUGAUACUGCGAGGCUAGAAUUAGGAUGAGGUCAGCGGAAUGUGGCAUGUAGCGGUGAAAUGCAUAGAUAUGCCAUAGAACACCAAUUGCGAAGGCAGCUGGCUAGACCUGGAUUGACGCUGAGGCACGAAAGCGUGGGGAGCGAACAGGAUUAGAUACCCCAGUAGUCC
rnacentral:rRNA from 1 species